rnacentral:lncRNA from 1 species
CAGGUACAUGGCGAACAUUCAGCCAGCAUUGCUAUUUGUUUUUAUUGUCAACUUCAGCAAGUUUGCUUACUGGAGUGACAACAUGAAUUUACCAGGUUAGUUUUAUGGAAUUUCUCUGAGCAAAACCCAGGUCAUGAUAGGUUUAGACGGGAAAUUAUUAAAAAAAAUUAUGCAGGUGAGUGAGUCCAAGUGCUCGCUACAGAUUGAAACAGUCAUCCUUUAAACAACUUGUUACUGUGGCUCAAUCAUGAGUAAACCAUAGCCACUCCUAAGUUUAUUUCCUUUAACAUUUUAAGAGGAAAAUGUGCCUCCUGAGAAAUUAACACAUCAGAACCCUCAGAUACUAAAGAAUGACGGGAAGUGCCAGGAAAACAGCACGGCAGGGCUUACAACGAGAGGACCCAGAAAUGGCACUUGGGGUGAAAAGGAGAGUGGAUAGGGAGGGCUUCCGUUUGGGAGCUCCCAAAAUGAGCGCCCAAAGAGCAGAGUUGGGGCCUGGGUGCCCCAGCAAAGGAAAGCCAUCCAGGGGCCGCUGGAUCCCCCACAUCUGUUUCCAGACACUGAGCACAGAAAUAAACACCCAGCUCUGUCAAACCACUGAGCCGGCAAGAGAACACGCUCCAUGAACAUGCACGGAAACCAUAUCGAGGUGGAGAGCAAGGGGCGCUCUCCUGUGAUGUGGUUGGAGUUUUAAAAACCGUGUUUGCCAGUAAUUCUCUUGUCCCUUUCAUGUUGUGGCAAAGAGCUGGAUCUUAUUUCUCGUGGGCUGCGAGGUGCCAGUGGCAGAAGUGAUUUGCUGGGUUUGCAUUCUGAGAUCCUCCAAAGCUGUCUGCUAUCAAAACACAGUCGUGCCAGGACAAUGGGGCAGCCUGAAGAUGAAGGUGGCUUUGUAGCCUCUGCUCCUAAGAUGAUACUGACACUUAAGGACAGGGUUCAGGGCGGGGGGUGCCCAGGGCACAUCCUCUCUAGCCUGCUAUUAGUCCACACGGACAUUGCCGACCGAUGAGCUCAUGCCGGGUGAAAACAGAAAUGUUUUUGAAAAAGCCAGUUUGGCAGCUUGAGGGUUGACGCUGGCUUACGUUGCAGGAAGAAACCAGAGGCUCCUCAGAGAGAAGCGCUUACCCUGGGAGGGAGCUACUCUCACCCGGGGAACAUGUGGACUGGCCGGGCUGACUGGGAAGGAAGGAAGGGGAGCUCGAGUUUCUGUGUGGAUGCACCCUUAGGGAAAUGCACCCAAGAGUACGGCCUGAGAGUUCCUCCACCCUGAGAAACACAUUCAGGGGCAACAGCAAUUUCCG